rnacentral:rRNA from 1 species
AUUAGUCAAUGCUCGAAAGAGUGAACUAGCUAACUGAAAUCUUUGAUGUGUCAUCAAAGAUAAGGUAAAGGAAAAUAAUGAUAUUACUUUACUAAUAGUGUCGUCCAAAUACUCGUGCCAGAAGACUCGGUAAGGCGAGAGACGCAAACGUUAUUCGUCUUGAUCAGGCGUAAAGGGUUUGUAGGCUGCUUUAAAAAUUUAAUAAUAAGUUUACUAUUAUAAAUUCAUAAAAAAAAGGGUUUAUAACUUUCCUAAGUUUAUUUUUAAAUAAAUAUGGAAUAUUGUUAUUUUACUUAAUGUUUUUAUAAUCUAUUUUUUAAAUCAAUUAAAGCUAGAAUCUAAUAGAGGUUAAAACAAUACUUAAGGUAGGAGUACUAACCGUAAAUAUUAAGCAGAGUUUUAAUGGCGAAGGCAUUUAACCACUAAAGAUUGACGCUGAGAAACGAAGGUGAGGGCAGAAAAAAGGAUUAGAGACCCUUGUAUUCCUCACUGUCAACGAUGAAUGGUAGUUACUAGUUAGAAAUAAACUAGAAGCGAUGUUAACACGAAAACCAUUCCGCCUUGUGAGUACAACUGCAAAGUUGAAAACAAAAAAAUUAGUCGGUUUCGGAGCAAACGAAGUGAAGCAUGUUAUUU